GACGAACGCUGGCGGCGUGCUUAACACAUGCAAGUCGAACGGAAAGGCCCUGCUUUUGUGGGGUGCUCGAGUGGCGAACGGGUGAGUAACACGUGAGUAACCUGCCCUUGACUUUGGGAUAACUUCAGGAAACUGGGGCUAAUACCGGAUAGGAGCUCCUGCUGCAUGGUGGGGUUUGGAAAGUUUCGGCGGUUGGGGAUGGACUCGCGGCUUAUGAGCUUGUUGGUGGGGUAGUGGCUUACCAAGGCUUUGACGGGUAGCCGGCCUGGGAGGGUGACCGGCCACAAUGGGACUGAGAGACGGCCCAGAGUCGUACGGGAGGCAGCAGUGGGGAAUAUUGCACAAUGGGCGGAAGCCUGAUGCAGCAACGCCGCGUGCGGGAUGACGGCCUUCGGGUUAUAAACCGCUUUCGCAUGUAACGAAGCGUGAGUGACGGUAAUGGGUAAAGAAGCACCGGCUAACUACGUG
rnacentral:rRNA from 1 species